rnacentral:rRNA from 1 species
CCUACGGGAGGCAGCAGUAGGGAAUAUUGCUCAAUGGGGGAAACCCUGAACCAGCAACGCCGCGUGGAGGAUGAAGGUUUUCGGAUUGUAAACUCCUUUUGUUAGAGAAGAUAAUGACGGUAUCUAACGAAUAAGCACCGGCUAACUCUGUGCCAGCAGCCGCGGUAAUACGGAGGGUGCAAGCGUUACUCGGAAUCACUGGGCGUAAAGGGCGCGUAGGCGGGAUAGCAAGUCAGAUGUGAAAUCCUAGGGCUUAACCAUAGAACUGCAGUUGAAACUGUUAUUCUAGAGUAUGGGAGAGGUAGGUGGGAUGCUUGGUGUAGGGGUAAAAUCCGUAGAGAUCAAGAGGAAUACUGAUUGCGAAGGCGGCCUGCUGGAACAUAACUGACGCUGAUGCGCGAAAGCGUGGGGAGCGAACAGGAUUAGAUACCCGUGUAGUC